AAUCCUCAGCAAUUGGCAAAGCCCUUCUUUACAAUGCAUGACAGUCUUACUUCAUGGGCUGAAAGCCACUCUCUUCAAUGAGCAAAAGCUAAAUAACCUUUUGCAUCAUUCUCCUAUUUAUAGUGUUAAUUCCCUCAAUCCUAAUCCGAUUAGGAGUCCCACUCAAUUUAGAAAUAACAUUAAAAUAAGAGUUCUACUUUAUAU
rnacentral:misc_RNA from 1 species